rnacentral:tRNA from 1 species
GCGAAAGUGGUGGAAUUGGCAGACACGCUAGAUUCAGGAUCUAGUGGGGUUUACACCCGUGGGGGUUCGAGUCCCCCCUUUCGCACCA